AGUUGACACAUUCCUCAGAAAAGGAGAAGUCAAAUUUAAUGGUAUAAGAUUUUCAGGAGCUUGUUGGAGGAGCUCCUGUUCAAGUGCUGCCAUGAAUAUGUUUGCAUAGGGGUAAUUGUGUUGAUUUCUUUCAACAUGUCUACACAGGCUUGGAUGCCUUGAUCAUUAGAAAAGAGUCAUAUAUGGUCUUGUAUGGUGUGUGUUUGGGUGUCGGGACAAAG